rnacentral:lncRNA from 1 species
UGAUUCCCAUUUUUAAGGAUUGAAAAUAUGUUCUACGCAGCCUAUUGCAAAGGCAGUGGGAGACUGGUAUUACGACAGGAAUCCAUUCCAAAAGAUUGAUUGCCCUUACCCCUGCAACCCAUUGCCAGAGAGUUGCUUUUGAAUGGACCUAUUAAUGUAAUGUACACACACAUAAAAUUACAGACCUUGUGUCAAAGCAGAACAAAAUGUAAGAGUCAAGAUCAUUGAGUAGUCAUCAAUGAGCUUGACUGAGUAAGAAUAAAAUGGAUAAAGAGUAUAUGAUUGAUUGAUCAAGUCAAUGAAAUAAUUAAACAGAGGCAACCACCGCACUCAACUUAUGUGCUGGGUGUCUUCUAUCAUUUUCUUAUGUAAUUUAUUUUUCUUAUGUAAUUUAUUGUUGUAACUUCAGUGAAAUAAAUAUUCCAUUUCUUGUUGUUGGAUUGUUGGCAGUAGACGAUCAAUUAUUUAGGAAUCAUUUUGUUUAAUUUUAGUAAUGUCCUAAGACCAUCCUUUUUCCUUUUAACCUUUCACAGUGUGAACUAGUGUGUAUGCAUAGUUAUUUUUUGCUGCAUAAAUAACCAAGUUUAAUUAAAGCUAAUAUUAUAAAAAUAAAAUGCUCUUGCGUCUUGGCACCUUUUUUUCCCCCCUUAAAAUAAUACACUAAAUUACUUAAAUUUUUUAAAAUUAACUACUCUAAUUUUUUUUAUAAUUUCAGAAGUAUUUUAUGCAAUCAAUAAAAUAAGGGAAAUUAUCAUUGCACUACCUUCCUUUUACCUUAUGAUCAUUUAACCACCACAAAAUUUUAACAUGUUCUUUGCACCACCUUUCUUUUUAAAUUUAUAUCAAUUAGCCACUUUUGCACUAACACCGUUGAAUAAUUUAAAUGAAAUGACAAUCCAGAAAUUAUAUAAAACGGUAUUUUAAUUUAAUUAGGGGUAAAUUUGUUAUUUUGUUUAAAUUAUUCAACGGUGUUAGUGCAAAAGUGGCUAAUUGAUACAAAUUUAAAAAAAAAAAAGUGAUGCAAAGAACAUGUUAAAAUUUUAUGGUAUUUAAAUGAACAUAAGGUAAAAGGAAGGUGGUGCAAUGAUAAUUUCACCUAAAAAAAUAGUAUUUUUUUUUGGAAAAAAACAAAGAAUAUUUUUUGAACAAAAAAAUUCACCAAUUUGAAGUUCAUAUCAAAAUAACACUAAAAGUUCACUCUUCAUGUCUUUAAGAACGUAGAUUAAUUAUAUUACACUACAACAUUUUAGUUCAUACUCCCAAAUAUCCCCAAAAAAAAAUGUGACAGACAUCUAUCCAUACCUUAAAUUUCAUCUUAAAUGAUGUGUCAUUCAAUAAAUUAUUUUUUUAUAAUAUUUAAAAAAUUAAUUUUUUAUAAUAAAAAAAUCUUUUAGUAAUUAAAAAGAAAAUACCAAGAAACUCCAGCUCUUGACAUGAGAUAUUAAAAAAAAAUUAUAAUGUGCCGUCAAGAUACAUAUCUUAGUAAUGGCGUGAUAUCAUUUGUAGAAGGCCCAAAUUUGAAGACGGUCCGUCCUUGGCCCACCCCACAAUUUCACCAUUGCAUACUUACAUUGACAAUAAAUACUCUUCUCUCGGGGUUUUUAAUUAAAGAUGCCCUAAAAAUGAGGUAUUUAGUUAAAUAUAUCUCAUGGUUGAAAAUUAUUUAUAUAUACUUUUUUAUGUGGUACAUUAUCUAAAAUGCCUCUAAAGAAAAAUAUAAAACACGUAAUUAAAGAUGCUCUAAAAAUGGGGUAUUUAGUUAAAUACCAACUGUAAUAGUCUAUUUAGGCUAAGCAUUCCUUAAAUUAUAUGAUCCUCAUAUUAUAUCACAUAAAUUGUACAAAACUAUCUUGUUGUCUUUGAAUAUUACACUUAACAAAAAAUAAUUUAACACUACUAGUUAGAAAUACCUAACUAUAAUCUUGUGUCUAUGAAAAUAUUCAACUAUAGUCGUGUACCUAUAAAAAUACCUGACUGUAUUAAUGUAUUUUAGCCAGUCAUUCCUUCAAUAUAUAUGAACACCCUGAUCUAUAACAGACAUUAUACAAAAUUAUCUUCUUUCUCAAUAAUAUACUUAAGCAAAAAAAAAACAUGAAUACUGAUGUAAAAUCAUCUUUAAUGAUAUCAAAUGUCAAUGACAUUCCCAUUGCAACUAUUAUAUCUCAUGUUAAUUAAUCCAAAAAAUGGCAAAAUCACAACAAUGAAGUUUUUAAGGAUACGACACUAUGUAGUUGGUUUCAACGACCUGUGUCCAAAUAAUUUGAUAGCCAAUGCUUUUCGAAAUUAUGACACUAUGUAGUUGGUUUCAACGACCUGUGUCCAAAUAAUUUGAUAGCCAAUGCUUUUCGAAAUUAUGUAACAUCAUCAUAUUGACAAAAUGUGUUCACGUCAAGGCCAUAGGCUAGGACCUCCAAGUACUACAACAAAAAUGCUUCACAAUAAAAUUCAUAUACAUCAAUAAUAAAAUCACCAUUCUUAUUGAAAUAUAUAUAUAUAUAUGUGUGUGUGUGUGUGUGUGUGUGUGUGUGUGUGUGUGUGUGUGUGUGUGUGUGUGUGUGUGAUAUACUCAAUUGCAUCCCCUGAUUUUAUUGCAGGAUAUUACGUACUCACAAGGAUGAUCUUUAUUUAUGUCUUCUACUGCAGGAUAUUACGUACUCACAAGGAUGAUCUUUAUUUAUGUCUUCUACUGCAUCUAGUGAUAAUCAAUUAGAAAUAUUUGCUUUGAAGUAUUUAGAUUCCUUAAUUUUCAGUUCCCAUCUGCAUAAACAUAAAAUAUUUUAAUUAUAAUAUAAAACGACCAAAAAGUUGGAUAAUAACAUAUUCUAAACCAAUAAAAAAAAUUACACGACACACCAGUCGAGUAAAGCAUUCAUAACACAACUACAGUCGAGUAAAACAUUCAUUACGCAACUAUAGCCGAGGAAAGUAUUCAUUACAUGAUUACAGCCGAGUAAAGCAUUCAUUACACGAUUACAACAAGCAUAAAAUAUGUUUUGACUUCUAUAUUUCCUUGGAUUUAAAUCAUUUCAUGAUAAUACAUAAUGCUUACAACAUAAAACUACAUAAAAGCUAAAUAUGUUUUGACUUCUAUAUCUCCUUGGAUUCAAAUCUCUGUACAGAAUUUUAAGUGGAUGACAGUAUAGAAAAGAAUUUACUUUAAUAUGGCUUGUCAACGAAUAGAGAGAAUGAAUGAAAAUUUUGUUUAUUAUAAAAAAUAUAUUGAUGGACCAUUAAAAAGCCAAAUGGUCAUUUAAUCAUUAACAUAUUAUUUGAAAUCCAUUCAAUAUGGGUAAGAAAUAAUUAGAAUUGUAAAUUGAAGGUUCCAUAGCAAAUAAUAGAGAAAACCCAGAUUGCGACAUAAUGAACGCAUACACAGCUGAAGAAAAUUAAUAUAUAAUUUCCAUGGAUGAAGUCCAACUACAAACAAUAAAUAAAAUUAAACACAUAUCUAAUAGAUAAAUCAGUGUAGCCAUAAUCGAGUAGUCACAAGGAUAAUAUUUGUUUUAUCCAAUUCCCUUUGAAUAUUUAAUUAGGAACUCCUAUAACCAUUACAAGGAGAGUAAACUCCCUUGAAAUAACUCUCUUCAAUUUCAACUCCGCAAGUUCAAGAAGCUUCAUUACAUGAAUCAUGAAGAAACAUUAUCAGCAAGCAUGCAAGUGAAACAAAUAACUCGGCCAACUACAAUAAUGACCAAAAUCACGUGGGCAAUUUAUUUUUUAAAACCCUAAUGCAUAUAACCCCAACAAUUAUGAAUCCUAAAUUCUCUUUAUGAAGUAAAAAUUAAGUGUAAAUGUGGUAAAUAAUCUUUAAUUCGGUGAAUUUCCAGCCUUCAGUUUAGUGAAUUUCCAAUGAAAGUAGUGGAUUUGUGGUGUUAGAACCAGCAGCAAAAGAAGCACAAACUUACAGCAGCAGAAGUAUCCUGGGCAUUGAAAUAUCUGUGAUUUUGAAAUAUUAGAUUUUGAAUUGGGGUAAUUCUGUAAUUGCACAUUGAGAAAUUUUAGGGUCUAGCUAUGGUACCACUGUAGUAUCAUGUGUCACUAUAGUUGGAUUCAAUGGUUGGAUUCAGCUGUGGUACCAUAGUUUUGCUCGAAAUUUUGAAUUAUGAGGAUGUAUUAGGUAAAUACCCUACUUUUGGGGUAUGGCGUGGACAAAUUCCUGCUUCUCUCUCAAUCUCAAAAACACAACCUUCGCCCUUCGGUUGCAGUUGCAGUGUUAAUGGAUUGGAGUUUUGUACACACAACUUGGGAAAAAUGGGCUUCUACCAGUGUUGGCUCUUCCGGUAAUGUACCCUCCAAGAACCCCCUCGGGCUUUUCAUUAUUUUAGUUAUUACCACGUUAGAUAUAUUAGAUUUAUAAUUUAUAUAAUAAAAGGCUGCUGAUCAUGCCAGUGCAAGAGCUAUAGAGUAAGCAGCCAUUGAUUUUUGUUUCUAAAUUUUGCUUGUAGGUGAGCCCUUGAAGGCGGCUUUGCUUAUCAACCAGGACCCCACUGGUCCCUCUCGUUUGUUAUCCACUAUGUCAGCUUCGUGCUUUUUUUUUUUUUUUAAUAUAUAUUUUAAAUACCCUUUUAUAUAUAUGUUGUUCUGUUCAUAAGCAGUGAAAUUUUGAAGCUUCGUUAUGGUUUGUGCAGUGCAGAACAAGAAAGGUAUCAAGGCCGACGCGAUUGACUUGACUGAAUUUGUUGAUUUUGUCAAACUCAAUAAACUUCAGACUGACUGCUUUGUUAUUGGACAAAAAACCAAUGCAAGCUAUUCGUGUCUCCUUUACAUUUGUGAGUGAAAUUCAAUUGUUGGACUUGAAUUUUGCGGUGAAUUAUUUAUUAUUGCUAGAGUUGCUAGUAAGUUGAUCGUAAUGGUUUUAUCAUAUUGAUGACAAUUGACGCAGACAUAGUUACCUCGAUUCAUGAGAAUAUGACAAUUUUUAUAAGAGGAAAAGAGAGAGUCGUUCUCUUAAUCAAGAAAAAUACCAUUAAAUCUAGAAUAUAAAAAUUAAUGGCUGAAAAAUUAACGUGUGCGUGAUCUAUGGUCAAAUAUUCUAAAUCCUUGAAAUUAAAAUAACUUGAAAAAUUAAUAUUGAAAAAAAAUAAAUGAAAUUGUCACUUUCGAUCACAUAAUCAAUGAAAAUCAGGAUAUAAUCAACACCUAUUUAUUUUAUUUCUAAAUUAUGACUUUUUCAUUAUUAUUCAAAGAAGGGAGUUUUUCUUUAAAAAACUCUCACCAUAAUAUAAGUGGCUUAAACCUUUUUUUGUUUUGAAAUAUAAAUUAACUUAAAAGCAAACAAGUAACAAAAUUAUCUUUUAAGAAGGCUUUAUAUAUGUAGAGGGGACUAGUCCACCUAUGUCAAUUCUUCCAAGUUAGUGAAAUUGUGUGACUUUAUUUAAUUAGAAGGAGCAACAACUUCAAUCUCUAUUUAUACGUCAUUAUCCUUUAGCUAUAUUUGUGCGACUUUAUUUAUACGUAGGGAAAUGAGUUAACAAGUUAUAUUUUCCAAGCACCAAGGUAAAUUACUCCUUAGGUCAUUAUGGUCAAUAAAUGAGUCUUCAUUUUACAAUUAAUAAAUGUAUAAAAUAUUUGAACUAAUUAAUAGUAUAGUAUUAUAUAUGUUAAAUUCUUCAAAAAGUAAGAUAGAAUGUAUACUUGAUAAUUUCGUUCUACUAAUUUAAGUUAAGUUUAUUGAGUAUUCCAGUUAUUUUAAGCUAAAAUGGACAUUUUCAUAAUUUUAUCACAUAAUCAAACGAAUAAGUGUAUAUUUUAAGAUGGUAAAGAUAGUCAAUAGGUAAACUUAAAGGAAAAACUAAUGGCAAGGUUGGUUUAAUGAGUUUUCAAAAUAUUGGUGGUGGAAUAACGAUAAUUAAUUUAUUUAGGUGUGCAAUUGAAUUUUGAUAUGUACUAGUGGUGCAAAAAAAUAAUAAAUUCAAGUUGAGUCAAAGGCAUGGUAAGAACGCAGACUCUCCAAAGCCCACGACAUAGAUUAUCUAAUGAUUUUUUUAAUUUAUAAAAUUAAAAAAAGAGUUAAUGUUGACUUCGUUUUACCCCAAAAAAAAAAAAAAAGUAUGACACUAUUAGGCAUCAAUUUCAAAAUAACGCGGUUUGAUCAACUCCAAUUUAUGAUGUUAUUAUCAAAUGAUAAAAUUUUCUAAUUUUUAGAAGUCGUUUCUUAUCAAAUAAUCAGGGAUUGAAAUAAAUAGCAUAAAAUAACAAAAAUAAGAAAGUUAAGUUGAUGUCCACUGAUUUGUGUAAGUAAAAAGUUUGACUCUUAAAAAGACAUUAAUUUCAUGAGAGACAAUAACGCCAUUUUGAUCCUCUCUAUAAUUAAUGAUGUUAUUUUCAAAUAACAAAAUUAUCUAGCUUUUGGAAAUCUUGGAGAGAAACUAAUUUGGUCGGUUUCUUGAUUAAUGAUUUGAUGGUCAUCGAAUAAUGCAUGACUUGGAAAGAUCUUCCCCCGUUCUUCAAGUUAUUAUUUGACUUUGUUAGUAAAAGGCCUAUCAGAAAGGUUUUUAAAUUCUGGUCUUCUGAGAUUAAAUUAAGUCACAGUUUAAGUUAUCUCAAGAAUAUGGGUUUGGUCAAAUUUUUCUCAGUUAUCUCAAUAUUGUUGCUAAUUCAUUGGCUAAUCAAAGACACAGUUGCAAAAAUUCCUCUUGGAGAAAAUUGAGGAAAAUCUUCUUGAAGAUGGCUAAAUUAUAAAAAGAUAGUACAUGGUGGCCGGACGGAUUAUAAAUUAAGUAAAUAUAUCUAACUUCGUUAAAAUUAAAGCUUCAUAAGACAUAACUAAUGCUCUGUAUGAUUUUAUUAUUGGCUUCCGAAAUUGCACGAUGGGACAGUUGAAAGCAUUUUCCAUUUACUACUUCUUCGAAUUGACUAGUAUCAUCUUCCACGAUGGUACAGUAGAACGCAUUCUCCAUUGCUAUUUAUUCAAAUGCACUAACCUGGCCUUCUUUUGCAUUGUGUUUAAACUAGUCCCAUUUUAAGGGUUUUUUUUUUUUCUCCUCUCUAUUCUUUUCCCUAUUUCAGGUAAUAACCAGUGAAUUAAUUAUUCCGCCGUUGUUGUUCCUUUUGAUAUAUUCUUUCACAUGGGGUUGUUCAUUUUUCUUGUUUCUUGUUCUUUUUGGAACUUCCAUUGAAGCAAGUAAAGUCAUUUUACUUAUAAGCUGCUGCAAUCUGUUAAAAAUGAUGGCAAUUAAUUAGUUUCUCAUUUUCUUGUUGAUGAAGCCUGUAUAUGAAUAAAUUACGCUCUAGCUUGUCAUUUUGUUAUUCAAACCUUUAUAUGGCAUGUUCUGCUUUCUGUUUUCUUUUUUUUUUUUUUUGUGAGAAAAUUUUCUAAAUACUUAAUUUUUCUUUUUCCCCUGAAUAUCUACAGAAUGAUUGCUAGAACAACGAUGGGCCAAUGGUUCAAUCUUUUAGUAUGUGCACUCUUAAUACUGAAAGCUCAAGCAUGCUUUAAUGUAUCAAUCACCUAUGUUGAAGAUGCUGUAGCGAAAGGAGCUGGUGGGGAUUAGUACAUAUUUAUAUUGAUGCUUCAUUUUGUGAUUUUCGGUUACUGCGUACUGUAGUUUGUUAGCUGUUUAAUAUGUUUUGCAGUCUGUUUGGAUGGCAGCCCACCUGCUUACCAUUUUGAUAAGGGGUUUGGUGCCGGGAUCAACAAUUGGUUGGUGCACAUUGAUGUAAUGUCCUCCUCUAUGUAAAAACAUUUCUUAUAUUCACUGCAACUUUAAAUGAUAUGGAUGAAGAGUAAUCAGUCUUACAUAUUAUAGUCAUAAGAAUUCUGGUGAUGUUUACAUUUACCAUUCAUGCUUGUAUUCAUCAUAUACUUUUUUGUUGAUUCAAUUUGCCUUUGGCUUCGGGUUCUUAGGGAGGAGCAUGGUGUAACAAUGUCGCAGAUUGUUCUAACCGAAGGGAUUCCUCAUAUGGUUCAUCUAAGUAUAUGGUGAAGGAAGCUAAUUUUACUGGGAUACUAAGUAAUGAGCAGAAAUUUAACCCAGGUAUGACCUUUUUGUGUCGCUUAUUGAUUUGAUUGAUGCAAAUCAACAAAUUCCCCUUUCCAUUUCCAGACUUCUACGAUUGGAAUAGAGUCAAGGUUAGAUACUGCGAUGGGGCAUCGUUUACUGGAGACGUAGAGGCUGUCAAUCCAGUAAGUUAACUUUUGCCAACAUUUUCUUAUAUACAUAUUCUUGGGUUCUCUCGUGUGAUAUUUAGUUAGUGAUUUGAUCAGGAAACUAACCUUCACUUCAGAGGAGCAAGGGUUUUUGAAGCUGUCAUGGAGGAUCUAUUGGCUAAAGGAAUGAAAAAUGCUCAAAAUGUAAGAUCAUUCUGUUUUUGUUUUUAAAAAUAUGUUCAUUAGAUUGGUAUGUUUGAUAACUCAUCAGCACUGAUGACAGGCGAUACUUACUGGUUGUUCCGCUGGGGGUUUGACUUCGAUUUUGCAUUGCGAUAACUUCCGAGCUCUCUUUCCCGUUGAUACUAGAGUAAAAUGCUUUGCAGAUGCUGGCUAUUUUGUGAAUGUGUAAGCUCCUGUUCUUUCAUCAACCAUGAUGUGGCAGUUGCUUCAGUUGUUUUUCUUUUCCGAAAUCUGAUUCCCUGGUGUAUUUUUCAAUAGGAAGGAUGUUUCUGGAGCAAGUCACAUUGAGGAGUUUUAUAAACAAGUGGUCGCAUUACAUGUACACACUCUGUCUCUCAUCCUCUUUCAUGCUUACCGACACAAAAUAAUGUUGUUACAUCUUGUGUAGGGAUCGGCUAAGCAUUUGCCAGCAUCCUGCACUUCGAGAUUAAGUCCAGGAUUGGUGAGUUCCACCAUUUUAAUGUUUCUACGUUCUAGUCUUCAUCCAUUCGUUUAUGGACUGACCGAUUCCUUUUAAAAUGACAGUGUUUCUUCCCACAAAACGUAGCAGGGCAAGUCAAGACACCGCUAUUUAUCAUCAACUCAGCUUAUGAUUCAUGGCAGGUUAGCAUAGUUCUUCAAUGUCUAAGAUCCAAUGACAGAAAAUGUGAUACAUAAGCUUAGUGCAAGAAGAUAAUUUUUUGUACUUAAGUGACAUAUCAAGUGAAGCUUGAUUCUUGGGCCUUCUUGCACAAGCAAAAAGAGACUGGUGGAAGAUUGACACAUUUUUGAUAUGUUAUAUUCGAAGCCACUGAAUAAUUUCAAUAAAUUAUGUGCAAUUUCAAUCUGGUAAUAUUGUUACAAGCGGAAAAUGGCAUGCACAGAUAACGAACAUUUUGGUUCCGGACGAUGCUGAUCCGAAAGGAACUUGGAGCAGCUGCAAGGUGGAUCUAAAAACCUGCUCAUCUACUCAGCUGCAAACUAUGCAAGGUAAUUCCCAAAAGCCCCGGAUUACUCCUUUCCACAAAAGACCUUUUCCAUUUUAUUGAUGAUAAUUCAAAGUGUCAAUUCUCGUUGUAUACUUUUCAGGUUUCAGGGUGCAAUUCCUGAAUGCAUUGGCCGAACUUGGCAACUCUUCAUCCAGAGGAAUGCUUAUAGACUCUUGUUAUACUCACUGCCGAACCGAGUAUCAGGAGGCUUGGUUGAGUGCUGACUCGCCGGUGCUGGAUAAAACGGUACGAGUUAUCUGUUUCCUUUAACAUCUUGAAGUACUACUGAUUCCUAUUUGUAAUGAUUGAAAAUAUGUUCUACGCAGCCUAUUGCAAAGGCAGUGGGAGACUGGUAUUACGACAGGAGUCCAUUCCAAAAGAUUGAUUGCCCUUACCCCUGCAACCCAUUGCCAGAGAGUUGCUUUUGAAUGGACCUAUUAAUGUAAUGUACACACACAUAAAAUUACAGAUCUUGUGUCAAAGCAGAACAAAAUUUAAGAGUCAAGAUCAUUGAGUAGUCAUCAAUGAGCUUGACUGAGUAAGAAUAAAAUGGAUAAAGAGUAUAUGAUUGAUUGAUCAAGUCAAUGAAAUAAUUAAACAGAGGCAACCACCGCACUCAACUUAUGUGCUGGGUGUCU